AGAACGAACGCUGGCGGCAUGCCUAACACAUGCAAGUCGAACGCUCUUGAGGCUUCGGUUUCAAGGGAGUGGCGCACGGGUGAGUAGCGCGUGGGAACCUGCCCUGUUGUGGGGGAUAACCGAGGGAAACUUCGGCUAAUACCGCAUGCGCCCGGGGAAACCCGGGGAAAGAUUUAUCGCAGCAGGAGGGGCCCGCGUCGGAUUAGGUAGUUGGUAGGGUAACGGCCUACCAAGCCUUUGAUCCGUAGCUGGUCUGAGAGGAUGAUCAGCCACACUGGGACUGAGACACGGCCCAGACUCCUACGGGAGGCAGCAGUGGGGAAUAUUGGACAAUGGGCGCAAGCCUGAUCCAGCAAUGCCGCGUGAGUGAUGAAGGCCUUCGGUUGUAAACCACUUUCACCAGGGACGAAGCGGAAGUGACGGUACCUGGGGAAGAAGCGCCGGCUAACUACGUGCCAGCAGCCGC
rnacentral:rRNA from 1 species